AAAUAGUCUGAAUUUAAAACUGCCUCCUUUCAGAAGUGGUGGACACACCCUAUUCAAAUAUACUGAAGUACAUAAAGCAAAAUUAUUGGCUGUGAAAUUUAUCAGCAACCUCUCCAACAAGACUUCCACACUGUCUAUAACAUUCUCACUGAAUGAUUCAGAGCUUCAGCAGGAAGAUGAUUAUUAGUUACAGUAUUUUAAUUGUGCUAAUUUCAUAUACUAAUGGACAGUCACUGACCUCCUCUGAGUCAGUAGUGGAGGAACCUGGGAGGUCAGUCACUCUCUCCUGUUCUGUGUCUGGUUUCUCCAUGGGCAGCUACUGGAUGCACUGGAUCCGUCAGAAACCCGGGAAAGGACUGGAGUGGAUUGGAUUUAUUGAUACUGGCACUAGCACAUAUUUUGCCCAGUCUCUACAGGGCCAGUUCUCCAUCAGUAAAGACACCAGUAACAACAUGCUGAUGCUGCAGGUGAAGAGUCUGAAAGUCGAGGACACGGCUGUUUAUUACUGUGCACGAGGCUCACUGUGGUGCAAAAAACCCAUGAAGCUGAACAAAAACAGAAACUGGAAUCUGGAAUCAUAAGCUGUGAACUCACUUUAUAAACCAAAAGUCAUAUCAGACAUUUUCCUGUACUGUUCCAAAAAUGCUCUUUUAAUUGCAAUAAUUUGCAAUAAACCAUUUUAAUACAAUUUGUGAAUGAUUAAUUUAGUCUAUUACACAAA